GAAGAAAGAGCUAAUAUCUAGUGGGCUCAGGAAAAACUUCCCUUAGAAGGUAGUCUGAAAUGAACUUUGAAGAAUGAUCUGGAUUCUAAAACAAGAAGAUGACACAUCCAUUCUACCUGUUGCUUCUGCAAACUUCAAGGAAAUAACAGGUACCUAUUCCUAAUUAUCUGUAUGCUUUAUG
rnacentral:lncRNA from 1 species